rnacentral:misc_RNA from 1 species
CAAAUCCUGUAACCAAUCAGCUAAGGAAAGAAAGGUACCAUGCAUGGUUGCACGACAACGGAAAAAUAAAUUUACCGUGUAUAUGGCCUGUGAUUCUAGAAUGUGCCCCCACCAUUCUGCCACUGGAGCUAAUUAUGAGGUUGCUUUCAAGCAAUGCUGGCUCAAUAAGUGUAAGUGUGCUGGAAACAUUGUUUCCAAGUGGUAUGGCACUAAAUUUUCUUAGGCAUUUCUUUUAGAGAAUAUCCCUCCUUAGCGAUCUGGAGUAAAAAGAGCUGUUUGGUGUUGAGAUAACCAAUCUGAAAUAACUCAACUUUCUUCUAGAGUGUCAUAAAGACUCUAUGCGUACGGUCCCGCAGCGAAAUAUAGGCCGACUUUGAAAUGUUAUUUUGUUUUCCUAAUCUAGGUUUAAUUUCUGCAGUGUGUUUAAUUUCCGCUUUUAUGUGGCGAUAUUCAGGGUUUGUCCUUUUCCUUGAUUUGCUAUGUUGGACACCAAAAGAUU